CCGACCUUAGCUCAGUUGGCAGAGCGGAAGACUGUAGUAGGUACAACAAAAGCCUUCAGGUAUCUUUAGGUCGCUGGUUCGAUUCCGGCAGGUCGGA
rnacentral:tRNA from 1 species